GCACACACAGCAAAAAAAGUGCUGAAUGUCUUUUUGUCGAUAUAGAGGGAAAAGAGUGGUGACAGAUCUUUAAAAGGGGCAGGGGGAUGAAAGGCAGGACAGAGGGCUACUGGUGCAGAUACAAAAAGCUUAGUGUCUGGGAAGAGUGAUCACCUUUGCUCUGGACCUGAAGGAAGCAAAGUUGGGAUAUCAGAAAAUAUUCUAAAAUAAUCAAACCUAGGAAACAUCCAUCAAAGCUGAAGGCCUUCAGUGACUUUGUGACAACAUGGAAGCAAACCCUGGAUCCACCAGAAACACCAAGGAAGCAAGCAAAAAUAAGUGACAUGACGGCAGUGGGUGCAAACAGACGUGUGCCACAAGCGAAGGUUGACAAGCUCAUGAUUAACUAAAUUUGUGAGGGUCUUCAUCCAUUUUCUGUGGUUGAACAACCUGCUUUUAAGAACUUUUACUGACACUGAAUCCUCAAUGCAAGGUCAUUUCCAGACCCACUCUUCGGACUAGAAUAGAUGGAGCUUCCACUCAGAUGAAGAAGACUUUGAUUUUGCCCCUCAGUAAAGUCAGCUAUGUUGCCACCACUACGGAUUGUUGGACAGUACACCGGCAAAGUUACAUAGGGGUCACAACUCAUUGGAUAGAUGAGGAAAGAUCUGCCGCACUUGCUUGCAAAAAGUUAAAAUGGUACCACACCUCUGAUGUCCUAGCAGGUGCCCUUGAUGACAUUCAUUGUCAAUACAGAAUAAGAACCACAACAGACAGUGUCUCAAAAUUCAUUAAAGCCUUCAGUGUGUUUGGUGAACAAAACCAGCUUGAGGAAGCAGAGUCAGAACAAGACUCUUCUGAAGAACCCAUAGCCGACUACCUGGACACAUUCAGUAUCCUGAAACAAGAUAGCGGUCUUGAGUACCAGCUUCCUCCACUUCAAAGGUGUGCAUGCCACCUGUUAAGCUUAAUCCCCAGAACAGAUGCUGCCAUGGCAGAAGAGAAGAAUGACACAUACAAACGGCUAUCACAUGCAGCCUUUGGGAAAUGCCAAGCAAUCUGGAACAAAUCAGGUCAGUCAUACAUGGCAGCAAAAAUUGUGGAAGAUAAAUGCAAGCUCCAGCUCAUACGGCCAAAUCAAUCUAGGUGGAACUCGACAUACAUGGCUGUGUAGAGAAUCAUAUGGAUCAUACAAGAGAAGGGGAGGAUGCUGUCAGGAAUAUCUGUGAAGAAUUCAAAGUGAAAAUUUUUAAUUAAGUUUUAUUUCUCUUUUCUAAAGUAUGAAAUGUGAAUGAAGCUAAUAAAAAACAUGGACUGAAAGCUAAACUACUUUGCUUAUUACUUUGUUUUUCCAUACUUAUAUAAAAUUAUCAAAAUACAUUUCCAUAUUUGGCUAUAUAUUCCACACCUAUUCCUACAGGAAAUUUGCUAAAAGUUGUAUAGGUUUGAUUUAUGUCAUACAGGCUGAGUCCAGCUGAAAUUGCUUUCCUGACUGACUACUGCACUGUGAUGAAGCCUGUGGUGAAGACAUUAAACAGCCUUCAGUCUGAGACCAAGACACACUUGGGAUCACUGCUGCUGGUGAUCUUCCAGCUACAAGCAAAACUCAGCAUACUGGAGACAUCCUCCAAGAUGUGUCUGCCACUCAUCAGAGCCAUUCAAGAUGGUGCCCAAAAGCACUUUGGUAGGAUGAUGGAAGACCCUGAACUGAUUGUUGCAGCAAUCCUUCUGCCAAAGAUCAAGACCACCUGGACUGACAGGGCUGAUAUCAUAGAUGCAGGUCUGAUCUAUGAGAGACAACACCUUGACCAGAUAGCAGAGGCUGCAGUGGAGUAAGUCAGGCAACAUUCAUCAGAUGAAGAAGAUUUCUUCUCCCCAAUGAAGUCCAGAAGUUCACAAGGUACCGGGGAGCUGGAUUCGUACCUUGCCUGUGUCUCAAACAAGAUGGAUCUGCUGAACUCAUUUCCACACAUCAAAAAACAUUCUCUCAAACUCAACACCAGCCUGUCUGCCUCAGCUACCUGUGAGCAUCUCUUCAACUGUGCUGGACUGCUGUUCACUGCAAAGCAAGUGCUAAUUUUGAAAACCAACUGUUGCUCAAACUUAACAGGAGGUUCAGAGAAAAAUGCUCUAAAGAUGGAUACACAAAUAAAGGAACUGUAAUCUGGAUAUACAGUGGAGCAGGUCAACUUUAAAAAGUUUUUAUAGAAGGCGCUAUGCGGUUCAUUUCACAUGUUUUGUUAUUGGACAGGUAGAGUGAUGUCUGAUAUCAAAGAAUGGCAUAGUUUUGUCUUAAAAACAGCUUGAAAGUCCCUGAUAUUUAGAUUUUGGUCUUCUUUGGGCCAUUUAGGGAAAACCACAAGACUUAUGGCAUUGACCCAUUUUGAUUUAUAGAUUUCCAGUAUGUGUCAAGUCAUGGCAAACUAGUGAUUCUAUUUCACAGAAUGCACCAUGAACUACAAACAUGGCCGAUGACUGCAACUCCCAAUGUGCAUGAGCAGUCUCUUAAGUAGUGUAGUGAUGGUCAGUGUGAUUGGGAACAGAUGUUUGUGAUUAGUCCUCGGGAGAAGGUGACAUGUCUGUGUGUUCCAUUUGGAGUUGUAGUCAUUGGCCAUGUUUGUAGUUCGUGGUGCAUUCUGGGAAAUGGGGUAACUAGUUUGCCAUGACAUGACACUAACUACAAAUGUGUGUAUUCCUAUUUUAUAUCAUUAGUCAUGUUAAGGUGAAUGUACUGUUAGUAUUCAUUAUCUUCCUUAAUAUAUUUUACUACAAUUUCCAACUAAUGGAUGCAUAUAGUGUGUUGAUAUGUCCUUUCUUCCUCCCUUUCUCUUUGUCUCUUUUGUCAGCUGGCAGGUGUCCUCUUACGCUAUUCCAGCAUCUACUUAACUUUGCAGGUCUGGAGCAGCAUCUCAGUCAUCAGUUGGCCCAUCUGGCCAUAGAUGUAAUGGCUCUGUUUGAAUGGCUUUGUUCUUCUCCUAUACCACCAGCCAUUCCACUGCCUACACUGUACUGCAUAGAUCCAACUAUGAUCCAUAUGUCUACUAAAACAGAAGCCAAUUCUACUCCUGCAACCUUCAUUGAAGGCCUUGUUGUUCUGUCAUCUGAUCAGACCAGUCCUGUCUAUUAAUUUUUCCUUUCUGUUCCCAAUUCUCAAUAAACUUUGUUUUACUCUUA